CCUACGGGAGGCAGCAGUGAGGAAUAUUUGUCAAUGGACGAGAGUCUGAACCAGCCAAGUAGCGUGAAGGAUGACUGCCCUAUGGGUUGUAAACUUCUUUUAUAUGGGAAUAAAAUGUUCCACGUGUGGGAUUUUGUAUGUCCCAUAUGAAUAAGGAUCGGCUAACUCCGUGCCAGCAGCCGCGGUAAUACGGAGGAUCCGAGCGUUAUCCGGAUUUAUUGGGUUUAAAGGGAGCGUAGGUGGAUUUUUAAGUCAGUUGUGAAAGUUUGCGGCUCAACCGUAACAUUGCAGUUGAAACUGGCAGUCUUGAGGACAGUAGAGGUGGGCGGAAUUCGUGGUGUAGCGGUGAAAUGCUUAGAUAUCACGAAGAACUCCGAUUGCGAAGGCAGUUCACUGGACUGCAACUGACACUGAGGCUCGAAAGUGUGGGUAUCAAACAGGAUUAGAUACCCCGGUAGUC
rnacentral:rRNA from 1 species